UACGUAGGUGGCAAGCGUUGUCCGGAUUUACUGGGCGUAAAGAGCGCGCAGGCGGUCGUUCAAGUCGCGUGUGAAAGCCCCCGGCUCAACUGGGGAGGGUCACGCGAUACUGAUCGACUCGAAGGCAGGAGAGGGUAGUGGAAUUCCCGGUGUAGUGGUGAAAUGCGUAGAUAUCGGGAGGAACACCAAUGGCGAAGGCAGCUCGCUGGGACGUGACUGACGCUGAGACGCGAAAGCGUGGGGAGCAAACAG
rnacentral:rRNA from 1 species